GACGAACGCUGGCGGCGUGCUUAACACAUGCAAGUCGAACGGAAAGGCCCUGCUUUUGUGGGGUGCUCGAGUGGCGAACGGGUGAGUAACACGUGAGUAACCUGCCCUUGACUUUGGGAUAACUUCAGGAAACUGGGGCUAAUACCGGAUAGGAGCUCCUGCUGCAUGGUGGGGGUUGGAAAGUUUCGGCGGUUGGGGAUGGACUCGCGGCUUAUCAGCUUGUUGGUGGGGUAGUGGCUUACCAAGGCUUUGACGGGUAGCCGGCCUGAGAGGGUGACCGGCCACAAUGGGACUGAGAGACGGCCCAGACGCCUACGGGAGGCAACAGUGGGGAAUAUGGCACAAUGGGCGGAAGCCUGAUGCAGCAACGCCGCGUGCGGGAUGACGGCCUUCGGGGUGUAAACCGCUUUCGCCUGUGACGAAGCGGGAGUGACGGUAAUGGGUAAAGAAGCACCGGCUAACUACGUG
rnacentral:rRNA from 1 species